CCAGUUCAGAUCACCGGUGUG
rnacentral:siRNA from 1 species